UAUAAACUUAUACUCUAAUUAAUGUUAAUUUAGAGUUAUUUUGAUAUUGAUUUUUAAUUUUAGGGUGAAAUCAGAAAUUAUUUUUAUUUAAACUCUAAAUUUUAAGAUUUAGUAAACAAACCAGAUUAGUACCUGGUUAGAUAAAAUUUAAAAGAGCAGGAGUAAAGUUAUAUUUAAACUGUAAGAGUAUUGGCAGGUUUUUAAAUUAUCUUUGGAGGCUGAGUAGUAAUUGAGAGCCCUCAUUUUCAACUUUUUCUUUAGGCGCAUGUAUGAUCGUUUAUUUUAUUCUUAAGGAUUGUAAUUUUAGUCUUUGCUAUAAAAAUAGAUAGAUAUCUGGCUUAUGAGAAAGAUUUAAUUUGGCCUACAAUAAUUUAAUUUUUGGAUUCUAGUUUUAGAGGCUAGAUGAAAUUGUAAAAGACAGUAAGUUGCUUUUAAUGGGUGGCUGAAGUUUAUUUAAAAACGGUACAAAUCAUCCAUCAAUUGCCUAUAGG
rnacentral:ncRNA from 1 species